rnacentral:lncRNA from 1 species
UAUAGGCAUAAAAAAGUUGCAUGUAGAGGUGACUCAGACCUCCAUGGCAGCUACCUCCAUGCAUUGCCACCUUUCUCUCAACCCACAACUGAAGCCCUAUUGGUGUUUCUUAUUCACAG